rnacentral:rRNA from 1 species
UACGUAGGGGGCAAGCGUUGUCCGGAUUUAUUGGGCGUAAAGAGCGUGUAGGCGGCUUGGUAGGUCCGCUGUGAAAACUCGAGGCUCAACCUCGAGAUGUCGGCGGAAACCACUUGGCUAGGGUCCGGAAGAGGAGAGUGGAAGUUCCUGGUGUGAGCGGUGAAAUGCGCGAGAUAUCGAAGGAAGAACACCUAUGGCGAAGGCAGCUCUCUGGGACGGUACUGACGCUGAGACGCGAAAGCGUGGGGAGCGAACAGG